CAGGCACCGGCGGACGGACGGAGAAGCAGGCUCUGAAGGUGGCUUGCCUGCCCAAGUAUGCCAGCCUGUGCCAAGGACCCCAGUGGUCCUGUGAUCUUCCUGACAGCAGCUCCUGAUGAACCCCCAGGGUAGCAGGGCUGGGCAGGGGCCUGGGACGGAUUCUGAGCUAGGUCCAGCCGGCAUGGGGACAUUAAAGGGUGUGGCUGUUUGUCCCAUUUCUGCUCUUUGCGUGUAGCCAGGAUGGGGGUUCCUCUGGGUGGGCUGCCUCAGUGGGCUGAUCUGAGGUGGAUGGUCACAGUAGCUGAGUUUCCGUGCCUCCUGCCUGCUCGCCUGAGCCCUGGCUGGGUGGACAGACAGCUCAAAGGCUGGUGUCAGAGGCGCUCUUGAAGUUUACCUUCUGGCUGACCCUAGGGGGCCCCUGAAGC
rnacentral:lncRNA from 1 species